CACGUAGGCACCAAGCGUUGUCCGGAAUUAUUGGGCGUAAAGAGCUUGUAGGCGGUUUGUCGCGUCUGCUGUGAAAAUCCGGGGCUCAACCCCGGACUUGCAGUGGGUACGGGCAGACUAGAGUGUGGUAGGGGAGACUGGAAUUCCUGGUGUAGCGGUGAAAUGCGCAGAUAUCAGGAGGAACACCGAUGGCGAAGGCAGGUCUCUGGGCCACUACUGACGCUGAGAAGCGAAAGCAUGGGGAGCGAACAGG
rnacentral:rRNA from 1 species